CAGUUUAGAAUACUGCAGCAACUCAAGCUUAGGGGCUGCUCCUUCUUCAAAUCCCACCGACUUGAGGUUGCUUAUGCAACUCAGCUCCAGCACCUUCAAGCUCGGGAAUGACUCCCGAUGGAAACUGAAACUGACCUCUUCACCAACGAAUGAGUCAUUCAACAGACGUAGGGUGGCCAGGUUUGGUAGGUUCUCAAGGACUUGUAUGGCCGCAUCAUGCUCCGAUAUACUCGACCACACUAGCUUCAGCUUCACGAGAUUUUUGACGCCCUUGAUCCACUCCGGCAGCUCAACCAGGCUGCCUAUCAACUUGAGGCUCUGCAGAUUUUCUGGAGGUGAUGACAGACCAUCCAAGCAGCCUGAUAAACCUGUCUCUCCAUCUGAUUGCAGCGACAAUGACUCCAGGCUGCUGAGACAAGCAAUUGCUAAACACGAUUCCUGACCAUUUCUCUUGUUGAUGCCUAUCAAUCCUAACUUGCGCAACCGGGUCAACCUUUUUAUAUCUUCCAGAGCAGCCUUCCCACUUGAGAUGUCCACAACACGCAGUGUGUGUAGGGCCUUCAGUUUCCAAAUCUCUCUUGGCACUUCAACACCACCUGCAAUUUUUUGUAUGCCACUAGCAAGAAUGCAUUGCAUCUUCACAAGUUUGAUGAUGGCCCUUGGUAGCUUUAUUAUACAUGUACCUGAAAUAUCUAGUGUCUGGAGUUGUCUCAGGUUCCCCAACGAAUUUGGCAGGUGAUGUAUACGAACAUGUCCCCUUAGAGAAAGAUAUCUAAGAUGUACAAGCUUCCCAAUAUGCUCAAGAUGAUAAUUGAAUAAACCCCAAUUGCCUUCCAAAUCCAGCACUCGGAGCAACCUCAUCUUAUCUGAAAUGUAAAACUGCCUCCAAUUUCCAAACACUGUCAAUGAUCGUAGGCGCGACAAGUCUAGUAUAUUCUCAAAAGCACACUUAUCACCUUUCCAGUUGCUACUUAUAGCAAGAUGACGCACUGUGCCUUGGUUGUUUAAGCUGCACCCUUCCUCCAGUGUGAAAACAAGAUUUUCCUCCAUAGACUUUGAGAUGGCAAUUUCACGAAUGAGAUCAUGGACGUGGCAGGAGUCAAUUCCUUUCCUACUAUGAAUUGACUGUUGAGAUGGCAGGAUCAUGCUCCUGCUUAUGAGUUCCAUGAAGUAAGAGUCCAAUACCUCCUCCACAGACUUGCCACGUACCUCACUUGAGUAACUCUCCGCAAUCCAACGACGCACUAAGCAUGUCCGUGCAAUCUGCUGGUCUUCAGGAAAGAUGGCCAGAUACAAGAAACAAGCCUUGAGGUAAUAGGGUAAACCAUCAUAGCUUUUCAUAAGGAUUGCUUUUAUGGUCUCGAGUUCUGGAUUCAUCUCCAACUCAACACUGAUAUGCUCAUUCAUUUUUCUCCAUUCAAAAGCAGUUUUUGGUUGGUUUGCUAAGAAGCCACCUAUGAUGACUAGUGCAAGGGGAAGCCCUCUACACUUCUUCAAUAUCAGUUUUGUUGGUUCAACCAACUCUGGAUAUCGCUCAUCCAAACUUACGACCUCCUUAAAUACCUGAAAUCCAUAUCAAUCAAGUCAUUUAGUACAACAAGAAAGGAAGCAAAUAUGCACAAUUGUCUAACACAUUUUUUAUAUGGGAAUAUGUACUACAACGAUGUUAAAGUGAGACAAUGCUACUUUUUGUUGGAUAAUAAGUUUCUCCAUCAUCCAUUCUUUUAUUUAGUAUAUCUUCAUUUCUGUUCCUAGAAAGAUUUUCCUCCCACCUAGCAACAUGUCCAUAGUAUAAUAACCCAACUUCUCGCUCAUUCCUACCAGCUUCUACUUCUACAGCUACACCUCGCCUCAGAAGUAGGUGAAUUGUAUUCUUGCUACUGAUUUCAUUGGACAUCAAUUACCCACAUAGCUACAGAAGUAGGCAUUAAAUUGAUAUGAUUGGGCCUCUUAGUUAAUGGUGCAUAUUUGUCAUAAUCAUAACACCUGAAUGUGGUUACUACAUGAGAAGCUCUUUUACGGUGCUCAUAUUAGAAAAUAAUAUGGUUCCUCAAUCUUAACACCUUAAUGACUCAUCCAGCGAAUUUUUUUAUGCAUGUGCAUAGAAUAAUUGUGGAGGAAUUCAAGGAGAGCACCAUAACAACAAAAUACCCAAUAAAGUGUGAACUAUUGGAUUUCUUAAAGAACAAUUCGGUCCCUGUGUUGCCCCCAGUUUAAUGUGGGCGACUCGGGUCAGACUCGCUCCACUAGGUUUAGGGUUCCAUUCUACACCUCUCCCCCACCUGCUGCCGCAUUGUGUUCUCCAUGAUGGACACCGAGUCUCCCUCAUCCUCCCUUUGUCGGUGGACAAAGCAGCAGACUUGAUUUUGGUGGACACAGCGGAAGAAACAAUACAACAAGCAGGUUGCAGGCACUGGACGGCUAAGAACAGAACACACAAGCACCAGCUAUUUCCAACCCCCUUUCAAUUGGGUUGCCUUCCUUUGCUAUUUUUCUCAUAGUAGCACCUCCUCCAGCAGCAAGCUGUGGAGGUAUACACAUGGAGUCUGCCACAUCUAGUGCCUCCUAUUUCACACGUCUCACCCAUGCCUCUCCCUCACCUACUAUCCAAUACAGGAGAAAGAUGAGUAGGCUAGAGAGGGAGAAGCAGGGCUUACACAGUUGACUGAUGCUCCACCUUAUAAAGAAAUGGAAAUAAAACUAAGUACAAGAUUAAGAUGCUAACACUCCUGCCCCUGGAUCUGGAUCUUUUUGGAUCUGGUAAACCAGGGAGUGGUGUGGCAAGGCAUUGGGCAACGAGGCAAUGGCCAUUGGUGGUGAGCUUGUAGCGCAUUCAGCAGGGCGUGCUGCAGUGGUGAUGUCCGGUCGCUCUACCCUUGAGGGCAGAGGGGCGGGUGUGAGGCGUUGGCUCAAGAGGGCGAUGUGGCUGUGCGUUUUUUGUGGUCGGGUCGGGCUGGCACCAGAGGGGGCAAUGAGAGUGAAAAAGUGUAGUUGAUAGUGGCCUUCCUUUGCAGUAGGGGCUCGCUGACGUGUCGGCAUCGUCUCCAGGAGCAUGGAAGUUCACCAGGGCAACUGCCGCCUGCUUGUUUGCUCACUAUGCAUGUCCAUUGGAUACUCCAAGCUCUCCAGAUUAUCUUUUGCUGCUGGCAUCUUGGCAUCAUCCUUUGUUGGCCAUGCUGCUGGGCAGAGGAUGAAAACCCAAGCACGAGUCUUUUGGGUCGAGAAGUGGUGGCACACCUCCAUCUUCUUGAAGACGCCGCCUUGCUGCCUCAGAGCCUCUCCUCAUCGGUGGUUGUGUGGUGUGGUGGCUGCAGUGUGCUGUGGUUCUUUAGGCUGCAAGGUGGUUGUUGUCUGGCUAUGGUAUGAUGUGCUGUGCUUGGUGGCCCGAAGCGCUGGGGGGCAAGGGCUUUUCUAUGGUGAUAGGUGGCUAUUAACUCGGCGCACAACUAUCUCGGGCGGCUCUGCACAGCUUUUUGGACAGGCUUCACGAUGCUUCGCUCACAUGGCCCUUGGCACCAGCAAUCCCCCUUGCACCUUAUCAGUGCUUCAUGGGUGUAGCUAGGAUCCGGAAGCUCCAACUUGCAGCAAGUCAACAUCAGGGAGACCUUGCAACACAACCCAUUAGCAGUUGUUUUUUAUGUUUUCUAAGACUCUAGUGCUAUGUUGUACUCCCUCCGUCCCAUAAUUCUCGUCUUAGAUUUGUCUAGAUAUGGAUGUAUCUAACACUAAAAUGUGACUAGAUACAUCUGUAUUUAGACAAAUCUAAGACAAGAAUUUUGGGACGGAGGGAGUAGUUUGUUGCUUGUGGUGGCUUGCUCAGAAGUUAUCCGUUGUGGUGCUUGUAGAUUGUUGUGUAUCAUUCCUGAUGUACGGUAUGGGGCUGCGUCCCUACACCAAUUUAGGGGUUUACUUCGUGCAAUCCUACUAUGCCGUUGGGGCUUUCACCGAUAUAAAGACAUACAACAUGUGUACUAUCUAAAAAAUAUAUAACCAUCAGCAACUCCGUGGAAACCAAACUUCUGUAUAUAAAAAUAAAUGCAAUAAUCUAACUGAUUUGAGAAAAUGUAAAGGUAGCAACUCAUAUGACCUGGUGUAUUCUCUCUAUAUUCAUCAACCACAUUUGCAGGACACAAAACCUGCCUUACCUUUCCUAGAGAUAUGUUUAUAGCGCAUCAGUUUUAAAGGAGCUUCAUGUGAAACAUCUUAAUUUCUCCAAAAUGCAAGAAAAAUUAUCCCACAUAACGAAGCAUGCCAAUCUUUUAGAUGAUAUAUUGGAGUUGUAAGCCACAAGAAAAUGUCAAAACGAUAAAUCCACAAGAGAAAGGUCGUCAUGCAAUAACUUAAAUAACGAGGAAUUUUUUCCUAUACACACCCCUUUGUAUCUUGUAAAAAUAUGUUGAACCUAUAUUUGUGCCUCUACUGACUUCUUUGUUGUUUGAUCGUGAAUCAGGGAUACCAUACUUCACUUUGACAGCUACAAAUUCCACAAAUUAUUUGUCUAGAGUAACCUACACAGAUAAUCAUGUCUCCACCUUAUUGUAAUCAUACUUUAUGUAAUUUGUAGUCCUUUGUAUUUAUAUGUAUCAUUCUAGCUAUUGCGUAAGAUUUCUAACAAAUGGCAAUUCGAAUUUUCUAGUGGACAAUUUGAUUUUAUAAUUCUGUUACACGUGAAAGUUUAAAGCAGUAAUAGAAAUAAGAGGGGCAGGAUUAACAGAACAACUAAUUGAGCAUGACACUACUUCAUUUUUACCUUUUUGGUGAAGAGGGUACAUGCAUCAUCAGGGACCAGAUGGUUCAGCUUGUAUAUAUUUAUAUCAUCCUUUGAGCAGUGCUUGGCAAUAUUCUCAUCCCUCGUUGUGAUUAUUAUGCAGCUUGCUGCCGUUUCUGGCAAAUGUUCUUUUAUAGCAUCCCACUCUACUAUUGACCACAGAUCAUCAAGAACAAGCAAAUAUCUUCUUCCUUCUAAACAUUUCCUUAAAUCUGUCUCAUUUUUACCUCCGAGUUGCACAGCUAAGCUCCCAAGGAGUAUUGUUGGAUUGAAAGGACGCAUGACUGUCUCACAAGCACGCUUAUCAAACAAGCUACUAAUCUCUUGGCUUUGAUAGAUAUCUCUCACCAAUGUUGUUUUUCAAAUACCACCCAUUCCCCACAAGGAGAUCACAUGAAAUUGCUGGAGAUCUUUAUUUGAGAUUAGUUUGAUGAUUUCCUCUUUUUCAUUCCCUCUCCCUAUGAGACGAGAUUCCUCUAGAGUAGCCAUUGUCUCCAUGCGAGUGAGGAUGUUCUUGUCCGCGGAGCUGUGAAGACCUGUAGAGGCUACAUAUGAGGUGGAUCCUUUCUCCACCGAUUUCCAUCCCUCUCGAGAGACCUAAGCAUGAGCAUACAAUUAAUGUUGAGGUGUUGCCUUCGUUUCCACAAGAUAAUAUUUUCUCAACUUCUAAGUUUUCUUUUGUAAUUUUCUACAUAAUACUUCUUCUCUUAAAUGAUUUGAAAAUCUCUAACCAAUCAUGCAGUUUGUUCGGUAGGACAACAAAGGAAAUAAAGUUUGUUGGGAGGACACACACAUACAUAUAGGUAAGUUGUUGGAUAUGAUGCGGGCACAAUAGUUCAAUAUGGAAAAUAUCGAACAAAAUAGUAUGAUACGAAAAGGAAGAUAAGUUUACUAGUAAAAUACAAAGUAGAAACUUGCAAUAUAUCACACUACCUCGGUUGCAGCAGAAGUGAAAGGUGUAUAAAUCCUACAGGUCUUUUCUCAUGAAAAAGAGGAAAAUACAUAUUUAUUUUGUAAUUAAAACAUGUGGAAAGGCUAAUAACCUACAGCUUUCAUGAUAGCACAGGUGCAAGUCUAGUUAAUUAUGUUAACUAUUACUCCCUCCAUCCCAUAAUAUAAAAGAGUUUUUCAUACUACACUAGUGUAAAAAACACUCUUAUAUUAUGGGACGGAGGGAGUAGUUGAGAUAGUAAACAAAAAUAGCAACACGAGGACUUCAAAAAUUACCUUCUGGUAGAAAGCAUAAAGAGGCUUAUCAGCAAAUAACUUCUUAUGCACUAGAGUUUCAUCCUCUGCUCCCAUGCAUAAGCUUGCAACUGCAACUUGCUUAGUGAAAACUAUGACUCGGCUUCCUUUCUUGUUGUCUGGGAAACAUGUUUUAAUGCGACCCCACUCUUCAAUGGCGUGUAUGUCGUUGAGUACAAUUAAGUAACUCUUGUCAUUCAAAUAUCUCUUGAACUCAUGAGCCAAAGCAUCUUCCUUCGUUGUUGCCAUCAUCUUAAGAACUUGGGCCCCAAUAGUUGUUUUACCUUCUUCUCCAGAGUCUUGAAGAGAAUUAACACAGAUUUGGCUAACAAUGCUUUGAAUCAAAUCUGCCUGAUUGAAAGGACACAUCAAUGUGAUCCAAGCACAACAAUCAAAAUUCUUGUGUAUCAUGGGGUCUUCAUAGGCACUUUCCAGGAUGGAUAUCUCCCCCAGAUCACUACUACUUGUGCCCCACAACACCAUCACUUCGAAGUGCAUCAUCCUUGCAAUUGAUCAGCUCGACGAGAUCCGUUUUUGCUUUAUGCUGCUGCAGCCUUGCAUCAUCGGCGGCAGACAUCGUCGUGCUGGACAUGAUAUGCUGCCCAACAGCGGAGGUAGGCUUGGAGCUAGAGCCCUUGAUGAGGUGGUACCGUUGGCUCCUCUGGCUGACCUCCUCAACCUUGUCUCUGAGCUCCUUCAUCUGCAUCGCCACAUAACGGCGGGCCAGCACCUUGCGAGAGAGACACCACCAGGAUUGCUUCUCGAGACGGACAGCAAAAUCCAGGAGGCAGUCCUCGACAGAGUAGGAGACGUCACGGACUUGUUUCACCCAAGUCCUGACCACCCAAUUGUCGUCUCUCUCAUCGUGAGCAGCCAUCAGGAAUGACUGCAUCAUCUCGAGCUCGUCCGAGAUGAAGGAGUGGUCACGCUGGACACCAAGCUGCAAAGCAACUUCCUCGGCGACAGCUGACUGGGUGUAGUUGAGCGCCCCGCUCAACACGGACUUGCCAACGCUGAUGGCCGUCGCCUCCAUUUAGUGAAUGUUUGUGUGGGUCAAUAGGUUGUGUACUGCAAACCGAUGAUACUGGGUGUAAGCGUCUGUGCUUGAGCUAAAUCUGAAGAGAUGAAUAACAACGGAGGAAACAGAGCAGCAUACCUGGUGUGUCGACACCACGGGGGGCGACCAAGAUGAAGGUUGUGGCUGUGAAAUCCAAGAUGGUGAACACAGCCUCGGAGCCCUCAGCCUCAACACCAGCGUUGUCCCUCCAAGACGAGCAAACUUGAGAGAUCUGUCGGCCGAGUCAGAGAGAUGAUUUACAAGUCACAAAGUAUGAAAGAUCUGCCAAUGCUGAUGACCGUUGCCUCCAUUAACUGGAUGUUUGUGUGGAUGGAUCAAUUGGUUGUGACUGAUGGAGGCUGUACUGCAAGCAAGAUGAAUUGGAUCACUCGAUGCUAAUGUCUGCGCUUGAGCUAAAUCUUGGGAGGUAAAAGCACAGAGGAAACAGAGCAGCAUACCUGGUGUUGCCGACGACACGGCCGCAACCAAGAUGAAGGUGUUGUUGUGAAAUCCAAGACGGUGAAGGCAGCCUUAGCACAGUGGUCUCCCUCCAAAACGACCAAACUUGAUAGAUCUGCCGGCCGAAUCACAAACGAUGAAAGAUCCACCACCAAGCAGAGCAGAUUAAGAUAGACAAAAGAGAAAAAAUUACCGGGACCAAGCGUCAGGUGGGGGAAUGAAGCGCGGUGGAGAAAGGAAAUGAUUGGAGAUAAAGCCGGGCCAUGGAGAUGGAGUGAGAUUCUUCGUUUCUUCUUGCCGCGGCCUCCGUACGUCCUCCAAAGAAGACAAGAGGAGGGGCGAAAGAACAAAGAAGCUUCUUUUCUUUUCUUGUUGCAUCAUGGUGGCUUUGCCUUCCUUGGCGAUUGGGUAAAGGGAGAGAUUGGAUUCUUUCGGUUGACUCGUUUGGGGGAGGGAUUGGAUUCGACUGCACUUGCAAGUUGCAACGGCGGAGGCAAGAAUCGCCGGCGGCUGAGGCUUAGGGGAAGGUAGUACGACCGUUGGGCUCCAGAGAAAGAAAGAGAAGAUGAGUACGUCCAUCUGCAAAAUGGGCUUGGGUCCUUGUUGGGCUGGUCUUGUAAAAUGGCCUGGCCUUGUAAACCGUGCACUUCUUCUUCUUUUUUAUUAUUGUAAUAAUGUAAAAAGCACAUGUUUUGCAAACUAGGCUUGGGGAAUGGAAAUGCCUCUUCUUCACUGGGGGAGAAUUACAAGUAAGCUGACCAUACUUAAAUGCAUCUUGCUUCUUGAACAAUGCACGCUGGUUUAAUCUUACAAAUUAAUGCUUGCUCUCACUCAAACCACACUUCAGGAGAUAUGUAUAUAAUAUAAUAAAGGUCACAUCUGGAGACCAUCCUUUGGAGCCACACAAAAGCGUUCCAACUUAUUCUCUCUUUCUCAAAAACAAAAGUGAAUAAAUAUAUAUUCCAACUCACAGGCAGAUCACACACAGAGUCAUAAUUCAUAUAAAGAAGACAGUGAGGAGGUAUAUAAAUCAGACAGAAUCAAACAUGUACAAAUGUAGGUUAUCCAAUCACGACCCGCAUUGCUUCAGUUUCCUUCUCAUGGUGAUGCUGUUACAUAUUGACACCUCGCUGAUCUUUGAUAGGUUGAUCGAAUAUUUUCCUGAAAUGUUGUGCGACAAACUAACAGAGAAGGAAACUGAGGCAUGGUAGGCAGAGCAUUCCACCGUAGACAAAUGCGAUCUUGGUGGACUUGGGAGCAAAGGCAAAAGAAGGGGCUUGAUGUUGGAGAUCCGGCUGUGUCAAACCAUGAUCAAAUCAGCUGCCGCCACGUCUUAUGGUUGUGCAGAUGAAGAGUGGUCAGUGAAACCCACAGGAAAUCUUUUCCUCACCUCCAUCAAUAAAUAAUAAAUAAUGCUGACUGUGCCAACCUGAAAGCAAAGAAAAAAAAACUGAAACCAUACAUAUAUAUGAAUAUAUUCUUCUGCCAGGAAAAAUGAUACACAUAUAUCCAAGUCAAAUGGAAGUGCUAAAAAAAUCAUUGCUCAAAAACCUGAUUUUUUUAAACAAUUUUUAGCUCUGAUUUUGUGUUUUAUAGCUCCCCUGCUGUCAUUUCGCCAUCAGAUUUUGUGGGCACCUUGAAAACUCAAACUCCUUUUUUUCCAAAAACAAAUCCAGAUGUUUUUUAGUUUUUCCUAUUUGUUUCGAAUUUUCAUUGCAGGAGCAGAUGAGCCGAGCAAAACUUGGCAUCUUUUGGCCAAAAAAUUCAGUUUGUUUUACUGAUUUUUUUUAGUUUAGUAUUCAUCGCAGGAGCAUAUAUAUGAGCCAAAAAUGCCAUACUGGAGAGGAGGGUUUUGUUUUAAAAAUAGAAACAUGGAGGAGAGAAAUAAUACUCCCUCCGUCCCAUAAUAUAAUAACGUUUUUGGCACUAGCGUAAUGUUAAAAACGUUUUUAUAUUUUGGCACAGAGGGAGCAGUAGCUUAUCAAAACGGGGCAUGCGAUUCGAGGAUUUCUACUCUGGCCCGCUCAGAAUAUAAUAUAGUGGUGGAUGGCCCGUCCAAAUAAUCGAAACGAAUCUCGUCUCCUGCUGCUGCGUGGCGAUAACAUCCCAUGGUGACAGCGUUGCAAAAAGUAGUCACAACGGAACGGAAAUGAACACAGAAAUCACACAAGCAAACACAGAAAUCAAAGAGUCACGACGGAUGACCAAAACAACGAAUUCUUCCAUUUGCUACCAUAUAGUAUCACGCAAAGAGAGGAACAGCUUACACACACGCAUGCAGUUGGUGAGAUAAAAUGAGCAUUUUUCACCAUAUAUAUACAGGUCCGCUAGCUUAAUUUCAGAUGUAGGUGGUCUUGAUUCAUCGAAUCAAUCAAACGAAAUACUCUACUUGAUACAUAGACCGGGAGUUGCAUACAACUAGGAUUACAGAUCCCACCUCUUCAAAACGGGCCGGUUUUCAUUCUCUGCGAGCUGGCUAUGCAAGUAAUCCACCAACCCGGUAACACCCCAGUCCCUCUUAUCCAGCAUAAAUUCCUUGAGACUUCGUAGACAUGGUAACCCACAGAAAAACCAAACACUGUCAUCGAUCAGUUUAGAAUACUGCAGCAACUCAAGCUUAGGGGCUGCUCCUUCUUCAAACCCCACCGACUUGAGGUUCCAUACGCAAUUCAACUCCAGCACCUUAAGACUCGGGAAUGCCUCCCGACAGAAACUGAAACGAACCUCUUCACCAAUGAACGAGUAACCCAAUAGACGUAGGGUGGCCAGGUUUGGUAGAUUCCCAAGGACUUGUAUGGCCGCAUCAUGCUCCGAUAUCCUCGACUUUACUAGCUUCAGCUUCACGAGAUUUUUGAGGCCUUGGAUCCACGCCGGCAGCUCAACCAGGUUGCCUCUCAACUUGAGGCUCUGCAGGUUUUCUGGAGGUGAGGACAG
rnacentral:lncRNA from 1 species